UUCUUACUGUUCAUAUAACAGUAAAAUGACGGUUUUGCCCUUACUUUUUUCUCACAAUUUCGGGCUGCCAUAAGGUGUGUGAAAAGGCUAUUCUACCCUUAUGGAUCUUCAAGCCCAAAUCUGAUCUAGAAACAGUGUUUAACAUGAAAACUCCCGACAUUUCCAGAUUCUCCAAUGGGACAAACAGUGAUGGAAAGGGAUUCAAUUGAGGAUUACCCUUUUGCCCUAAAGUCUGAAGUAUAUAAGCAAGAAAGUCACCAUCUAAGCACUUCGAGAAGCCUCCACCGUUUUCAUAACAGACUCUCAACCGACAUUAACGUUUUCCAUCAACAUCCCCAUCAUCCAGGGCAUGCUCCCACAGUUAGAAUCUGUUCCUCAGUUGACAAUACAAACUUCUGUGGAAAACAGAUUCUAUUUGUUCCCUGAUUUCAUAUCUGGAUAAGUCAAUCUGCUGUUUCAAGUUUCAAGAGAUGAUCAGACGCACAUUAAUCCGUGAAAUAAGAGCUUUUCAAAUCAAGAUUUGUGUUUUCAGAAUCUGGAGACAAGGAAGUACAACAAUGAGAUGUACGAUGGUCUCCAUUAUGUGUUAGUUGAUAAAGAGGGAAAUACGAUUCAUACUAUAAUUGAUGAAUCUGAUUAUCCUUACGUGUUGAACAAGAUGGAACAAGGACAGAUCUACGACAUCUCCCAUUUCUCCAGACGGAAACACGUAUCCAAAUACAAAGUUGUAGAUCAUGAUGCCUCAGCUGUAUUUCAAAGAGUCAACUAAAUUUGAACCAGUGGGACAUACGUUGCCUCCAAUUCCGCAGUAUGCAUUUCAUCUUCUUGAUUUUAAUUAAAAGGUAUGAAAAAGUUGGACACUGAUGUUGACCAUAUGAAAAAGUUGAUGUUGGUCAACCUGAGUAUAGCCCUCCUGAGUUCUCUCUGUCCCUGUGCUACACGAAGUUACUCCAGUAUUAUGUGGAUCAUCCUGAAGAAAGAAGAAAUCAACAAGGCUUCCUAAAACGAAGGCUCAACCAUCUGAGGUCAAGGGUCUUAUGAUCCAAAAUUAGAAUGUCGUAUAACAUUUGGAACUUAGUAACUCAAGUUACAACCAGAUCGAUUCUGCAUGCUUCUCAAAAAUGUUCCACCACCAACUGUAACAAACUGCAAUAAUGGGAACUCCCAUUUCAAGUUUACGGAAAACAGUUCAUUACACUUUUUACAUUCCGCGGCAAAGUGCGGGCACUACUACUAGUCUAUAAUGGGCAGAUGGUCCAGAACCUUCCACGGCUAAACCAUUGAUUCUUUCUCCAAAGUUGUUUUGUUAUCAUAUGACCUUUGUAAGAAUUUGUUUAUCAUCGAUAAUUCUAAUGUAUUUUGGAAUAUGAGAGAAGUUUUGUCCAA